ensembl:miRNA
UAGGAAAAGGAGUGGACAGAGGACAUUCCCCUGUCGCUUCUUUUUCUUCU